CCUACGGGUGGCAGCAGUGAGGAAUAUUGGUCAAUGGCCGGGAGGCUGAACCAGCCAAGUCGCGUGAGGGAAGACGGCCCUACGGGUUGUAAACCUCUUUUGUCAGGGAGCAAGGUGCAGGUCGGGACCUGCUGUGAGCGUACCUGAAGAAAAAGCAUCGGCUAACUCCGUGCCAGCAGCCGCGGUAAUACGGAGGAUGCGAGCGUUAUCCGGAUUUAUUGGGUUUAAAGGGUGCGCAGGCGGAGGCACAAGUCAGCGGUAAAAUCGCGGGGCUCAACCCCGCUCCGCCGUUGAAACUGUGGCCCUGGAGUGCGCGAAGGGUAGGCGGAAUGCGUGGUGUAGCGGUGAAAUGCUUAGAUAUUGCGCAGAACUCCGAUUGCGAAGGCAGCAUACCGGCGGCGAUCUGACAUUGAUGCUCGAAAGUGUGGGUAUCAAACAGGAUUAGAUACCCUUGUAGUC
rnacentral:rRNA from 1 species